rnacentral:rRNA from 1 species
AGAGUUUGGUCCUGGCUCAGGAUGAACGCUAGCGGCAGGCUUAACACAUGCAAGUCGAGGGGUAGCAGGAGUAGCAAUACUUGCUGACGACCGGCGCACGGGUGAGUAACGCGUAUGCAACCUACCUCUAACUGAGGCAUAGCCCGGAGAAAUCCGGAUUAAUACCUCAUAAUAUUUCGAAUUCGCAUGUUUUCGAAAUUAAAGCUUUGGCGGUUAGAGACGGGCAUGCGUGACAUUAGUUAGUUGGUGAGGUAACGGCUCACCAAGACUGCGAUGUCUAGGGGGUCUGAGAGGAUGGUCCCCCACACUGGUACUGAGACACGGACCAGACUCCUACGGGAGGCAGCAGUGGGGAAUAUUGGGCAAUGGACGCAAGUCUGACCCAGCCAUGCCGCGUGCAGGAUGACUGCCCUAUGGGUUGUAAACUGCUUUUAUUUGGGAAGAAACCCCUGCUCGUGAGCAGGGCUGACGGUACCAAAAGAAUAAGCAUCGGCUAACUCCGUGCCAGCAGCCGCGGUAAUACGGAGGAUGCAAGCGUUAUCCGGAUUUAUUGGGUUUAAAGGGUGCGCAGGCGGGAGAUUAAGUCAGUGGUGAAAUCCUGCAGCUUAACUGUAGAAUUGCCAUUGAUACUGAUUUUCUUGAGUGCAGUUGAGGUGGGUGGAGUGUAAUGUAGCGGUGAAAUGCUUAGAUAUUACACAGAACACCGAUUGCGUAGGCAGCUCACUAAACUGUUACUGACGCUCAGGCACGAAAGCGUGGGGAGCGAACAGGAUUAGAUACCCUGGUAGUCCACGCCGUAAACUAUGAUCACUCGUUGUUGGCAAUAAACCGUCAGCGACUAAGCUAAAGCAAUAAGUGAUCCACCUGGGGAGUACGGUCGCAAGAUUGAAACUCAAAGGAAUUGACGGGGGCCCGCACAAGCGGAGGAACAUGUGGUUUAAUUCGAUGAUACGCGAGGAACCUUACCUGGGCUUAAAUGCAGAACGAUUUCCGCCGAAAGGUGGUUUCCUUCGGGCGUUUUGCAAGGUGCUGCAUGGUUGUCGUCAGCUCGUGCCGUGAGGUGUCGGGUUAAGUCCCAUAACGAGCGCAACCCUCAUCGUUAGUUGCCAUCGGGUAAUGCCGGGGACUCUAACGAAACUGCCGGUGUAAACCGUGAGGAAGGUGGGGAUGACGUCAAAUCAGCACGGCCCUUAUGUCCAGGGCUACACACGUGUUACAAUGGCCAGUACAAAGGGCAGCUACCUGGUGACAGGAUGCUAAUCUCUAAAACUGGUCUCAGUUCGGAUCGAAGUCUGCAACUCGACUUCGUGAAGGUGGAUUCGCUAGUAAUCGCGCAUCAGCAACGGCGUGGUGAAUACGUUCCCGGGCCUUGUACACACCGCCCGUCAAGCCAUGGAAGCUGGGGGUGCCUGAAGUUCGUAACCGUAAGGAGCGACCUAGGGUAAAACUAGUGACUGGGGCUAAGUCGUAACAAGGUA